GGUUCUGGUGACUCAGCUCCAAGGCUGGGCUGGGUCCCAAGGGCCUCUCUGGUGACUUUUCAUCGGGCUGCCUGCCAAUGUCCUCACAGCAAUCUCAGUAAUGCCCAGAGAGGAGUGAGAGAGGCGGGCUGGCUGAGAGCUCCCAUCCAGAAAGGCAUCCGUUUUCCUCCUCCACCCACUGAGCAGAGGAUGGGGAGAGAUGGAGGGCUGCGUACGGAAGAUGGUAGAGGUUGAAGGUGCAAUAAGAGCAUAGGACUCCAGCCUCCCAGGACUCCAGCUCCUGAUUCAGGACAGGUGUACCGCAAGAGCCCUGGAUGUGUGGGAAGUGCGGGCGAAGAGGAGGGACUUGUUGAUUCCCAGGCUGUGCCAGCCAGGCAAGAGUCAUGAACGACACCGUGACAAAGGAUGCCGUACCAACAUAAAAUGUAUUGUAUUUAAAUAUU